CCGCCCGUCACGUCAUGGGAGUUGUCGACGCUUGAAGUCCGUGGGCUAACCCCGAGCUUGUCGAGGGGAGGUAGCGGCCGAGGGCGGAGGCAGCGACUGGGACG
rnacentral:rRNA from 1 species